GCGCAGGUAGCUCAGAGGUAGAGCACAGGAAUUGAUAAUCCUGAGGUCAUGGGUUCGAAUCCCGUCCUGCGCA
rnacentral:tRNA from 1 species